rnacentral:misc_RNA from 1 species
AACGCAUAUUGCGCCCUCUGGCACUCCAGAGGGCAUGUCCGACCGAGCGCCACUGCCCGCGCUCGGGGAUGACCAUGGCUUACGCCGUGGCUUCCCCGGUGUUGGGGCGUGCGCCGCUGUCACAAGCGGUGCUGCCCCGAAAUGCAGUGGCGGCCGUACCCCGCGGACCUCCUGGCGCAGUAGCUUAAACACCUAAAGUCGUCAUGGCGAGUCCCGGGGAUGGGCCCGCUCCCUAGAACCCCUUACAACGCACUGGUUGGCCUCGGGUCGGACAAGAUUACCCGCUGAACUUAA